rnacentral:rRNA from 1 species
GACGAACGCUGGCGGCGUGCCUAAUACAUGCAAGUCGAACGAACCGCGACUAAGUGCUUGCACUAAGUCAAGGUGAGUGGCGAACGGGUGAGUAACACGUGGGUAACCUACCUCAUAGUGGGGAUAACAGUCGGAAACGACUGCUAAUACCGCAUAGGACAUAGGAUCACAUGAUCCAGUGAGGAAAGGUGGCGCAAGCUAUCGCUAAGAGAUGGACCCGCGGUGCAUUAGCUAGUUGGUAGGGUAAAGGCCUACCAAGGCGAUGAUGCAUAGCCGACCUGAGAGGGUGAUCGGCCACAUUGGGACUGAGACACGGCCCAAACUCCUACGGGAGGCAGCAGUAGGGAAUCUUCCGCAAUGGACGCAAGUCUGACGGAGCAACGCCGCGUGAGUGAAGAAGGUCUUCGGAUCGUAAAGCUCUGUUGUUAGAGAAGAACAGCGCAUAGAGUAACUGCUAUGCGUGUGACGGUAUCUAACCAGAAAGCCACGGCUAACUACGUG